rnacentral:lncRNA from 1 species
AUCUGCUUCUUCAUACGAAAAAUGAGAUCUUAAUCCAAUCCAGCACCGAUAAUAAUCAUGAUCCAUAAAGGGAGACUCGAGAGCCCAAGGGCAGAUUCUAGGAAUUAAACAUGAUUCAAACAUAAAAGCCAUAGUAUCAGUGAUCUUGUAUGGCCCAGCCUCGCUUCCACGUGCAAUGGUGGCCUGUGUUAAAAAGAAAAAAAAAAAUUGUAAGAUCAGGAUCAUUCAUCGUUAAGCAGAAUGUUUUAAGGCUUUAACACUAACACCUCUACCAGCCAGCCAAUGCUUUAAUGCCUCUACCAGUCAGUCAAUCUCUUAAAUUCGAGCAUAUGGUUACCAAUCAAGAAAAGUUAAAAAGGCAUAAAGAAAUCAGAGAGGUUUUGUAAAUACAUAUAAUCAUGUAAAAAUUUUGUUUUCUGCAUCUCCACAUGUACAAAACAACUGCUGAAUCAUUAGGUUCUAGAUUUUUAUAAAUGGAGAUUAGGGAGAGUCUUGAUGGGAAACAAGCAGUAAACAUAGAUAUUGUGUGCUAGAGGCAUACCUCAUAUGUCUUCGUAUCAGGACCAUGGGGAGUCAUACAACUAUGAAGGCUCGCACCACCUGGGAGAAACCCAUCAGCUUUUGCC